rnacentral:rRNA from 1 species
UAGUCCACGCCGUAAACGAUGGACACUAGUUGUUGGAUUUAUUCAGUGACUAAGCGAAAGUGAUAAGUGUCCCACCUGGGGAGUACGAUCGCAAGAUUGAAACUCAAAGGAAUUGACGGGGGCCCGCACAAGCGGUGGAGCAUGUGGUUUAAUUCGAUGAUACGCGAGGAACCUUACCAGGGCUUAAAUGUAGGUUGCAUUAGCUAGAGAUAGCUAUUUCUUCGGACUACUUACAAGGUGCUGCAUGGUUGUCGUCAGCUCGUGCCGUGAGGUGUCAGGUUAAGUCCCGCAACGAGCGCAACCCCUAUUGUUAGUUGCCAGCGAGUAAUGUCGGGGACUCUAACGAGACUGCCCGCGUAAGCGGAGAGGAAGGUGGGGACGACGUCAAAUCAUCAUGGCCUUUAUGCCUAGGGCUACACACGUGCUACAAUGGCAGGUACAGAGGGUUGCGAAGGGGUGACCUGGAGCUAGUCUCAGAAAGCCUGUCCCAGUUCGGA